AUCUGGUCUGAGUGCAGUGGUGUUUGCAACUAAUUGAUUACACGAGUUAGAGAUUUCUUUGUUCCUUCUCCAUUCCCCCUGCUUCCCUUGACUAGCCUAAA
ensembl:Y_RNA Y_RNA Y RNA